ensembl:miRNA MIR4760 microRNA 4760
GCCAUGGUGUUUAGAUUGAACAUGAAGUUAGAAUUCUUAAGUAUCAAAACUAAAUUCAUGUUCAAUCUAAACCCCAUGGC